rnacentral:lncRNA from 1 species
GUGGUUACGGCCUGCGGCCUGCACCUCAGCUUCCUCCGCACGGUUAUCCCUGUACCCGCCGCCAUCCAUCCUGGCGCUCCGGAUGAGUCAAUGAGGGGCAGCGCCCGAGGAAUGGUCUUCCCAAGAACCCCCGGUGGCCUCCCAAGGCCGGUGCUGUGUACCUCCUCCCCGACAAAAGGGGCAACUGAGGCCCCGAGGGGAGUGGGAAGAGCCGGCUGGACGUCAGGCCCAGCCGCUGGUGCGGUAGUCCGUCCCCUCCGCCGGGGUGGGCCCCUCGGGUUUCGCGUGUCCUCGGGAAAGAGACUGGCGGGCCUCGUGGGCUGUGCGGCUCUCCUGGAGACAGAUGACAGCUCUCCCUUGGAUGGCUUUGCUAGUUUCGCACCAGCCAGCGCCCCAUUUUUCCUGCAGCACCCUGAUCCGCACUCCCUGAGGGGCUCCCACUGUCCGCGGUGUGAGGAUGUCCCUGGAUAGUCCACUGUGUGCAGAGGCAUGGGAGUUGUCAUGUCGAUAACAUGCUAGACCUCAGUGUCCUUGAGGGAUGCCGCCUUGGGUCUGGAGACUGUUAGAGGAAACCCCAAGAGGUGCAAGCACUGAGCCUCUCAGGACAAUGACCUGGGAUUCCACCUCCCCUGGAGGGGCCUCCUCAUGGCCAGGCCAUCCAGUGGCCAUCCUUCGUGUCCUCCCACCUCCUUCUGGUGUGACUUCUGAAAACCAAGAAUUUGUUCC